GGGUUGUGAGGUUAAGCGACUAAGCGUACACGGUGGAUGCCCUGGCAGUCAGAGGCGAUGAAGGGCGUGCUAAUCUGCGAUAAGCGCCGGUAAGGUGAUAUGAACCGUUAUAACCGGCGAUACCCGAAUGGGGAAACCCAGUGUGUUUCGACACACUAUCAUUAACUGAAUCCAUAGGUUAAUGAGGCGAACCGGGGGAACUGAAACAUCUAAGUACCCCGAGGAAAAGAAAUCAACCGAGAUUCCCCCAGUAGCGGCGAGCGAACGGGGAGGAGCCCAGAGCCUGAAUCAGCAUGUGUGUUAGUGGAAGCGUCUGGAAAGGCGCGCGAUACAGGGUGACAGCCCCGUACACAAAAGCGCAUGUGCUGUGAGCUCGAUGAGUAGGGCGGGACACGUGGUAUCCUGUCUGAAUAUGGGGGACCAUCCUCCAAGGCUAAAUACUCCUGACUGACCGAUAGUGAACCAGUACCGUGAGGGAAAGGCGAAAAGAACCCCGGCGAGGGGAGUGAAAAAGAACCUGAAACCGUGUACGUACAAGCAGUGGGAGCACCCUUUGGGGUGUGACUGCGUACCUUUUGUAUAAUGGGUCAGCGACUUAUAUUCUGUAGCAAGGUUAACCGAAUAGGGGAGCCGGAGGGAAACCGAGUCUUAAUUGGGCGUUAAGUUGCAGGGUAUAGACCCGAAACCCGGUGAUCUAGCCAUGGGCAGGUUGAAGGUUGGGUAACACUAACUGGAGGACCGAACCGACUAAUGUUGAAAAAUUAGCGGAUGACCUGUGGCUGGGGGUGAAAGGCCAAUCAAACCGGGAGAUAGCUGGUUCUCCCCGAAAGCUAUUUAGGUAGCGCCUCGUGAAUUCAUCUCCGGGGGUAGAGCACUGUUUCGGCUAGGGGCCAUCCCGGCUUACCAACCCGAUGCAAACUGCGAAUACCGGAGAAUGUUAUCACGGGAGACACACGGCGGGUGCUAACGUCCGUCGUGAAGAGGGAAACAACCCAGACCGCCAGCUAAGGUCCCAAAGUCAUGGUUAAGUGGGAAACGAUGUGGGAAGGCCCAGACAGCCAGGAUGUUGGCUUAGAAGCAGCCAUCAUUUAAAGAAAGCGUAAUAGCUCACUGGUCGAGUCGGCCUGCGCGGAAGAUGUAACGGGGCUAAACCAUGCACCGAAGCUGCGGCAGCGACGCUGAUGCGUUGUUGGGUAGGGGAGCGUUCUGUAAGCCUGCGAAGGUGGCCUGUGAGGGUUGCUGGAGGUAUCAGAAGUGCGAAUGCUGACAUAAGUAACGAUAAAGCGGGUGAAAAGCCCGCUCGCCGGAAGACCAAGGGUUCCUGUCCAACGUUAAUCGGGGCAGGGUGAGUCGACCCCUAAGGCGAGGCCGAAAGGCGUAGUCGAUGGGAAACGGGUUAAUAUUCCCGUACUUGGUGUUACUGCGAAGGGGGACGGAGAAGGCUAUGUUGGCCGGGCGACGGUUGUCCCGGUUUAAGCGUGUAGGUGUGUGUUCCAGGUAAAUCCGGUUCACUUUAACACUGAGGCGUGAUGACGAGGCACUACGGUGCUGAAGCAACAAAUGCCCUGCUUCCAGGAAAAGCCUCUAAGCAUCAGGUAACAUCAAAUCGUACCCCAAACCGACACAGGUGGUCAGGUAGAGAAUACCAAGGCGCUUGAGAGAACUCGGGUGAAGGAACUAGGCAAAAUGGUGCCGUAACUUCGGGAGAAGGCACGCUGACACGUAGGUGAAGUGAUUUACUCAUGGAGCUGAAGUCAGUCGAAGAUACCAGCUGGCUGCAACUGUUUAUUAAAAACACAGCACUGUGCAAACACGAAAGUGGACGUAUACGGUGUGACGCCUGCCCGGUGCCGGAAGGUUAAUUGAUGGGGUCAGCGCAAGCGAAGCUCCUGAUCGAAGCCCCGGUAAACGGCGGCCGUAACUAUAACGGUCCUAAGGUAGCGAAAUUCCUUGUCGGGUAAGUUCCGACCUGCACGAAUGGCGUAAUGAUGGCCAGGCUGUCUCCACCCGAGACUCAGUGAAAUUGAACUCGCUGUGAAGAUGCAGUGUACCCGCGGCAAGACGGAAAGACCCCGUGAACCUUUACUAUAGCUUGACACUGAACAUUGAGCCUUGAUGUGUAGGAUAGGUGGGAGGCUUUGAAGUGUGGACGCCAGUCUGCAUGGAGCCGGCCUUGAAAUACCACCCUUUAAUGUUUGAUGUUCUAACGUGGACCCGUGAUCCGGGUUGCGGACAGUGUCUGGUGGGUAGUUUGACUGGGGCGGUCUCCUCCUAAAGAGUAACGGAGGAGCACGAAGGUUGGCUAAUCCUGGUCGGACAUCAGGAGGUUAGUGCAAUGGCAUAAGCCAGCUUGACUGCGAGCGUGACGGCGCGAGCAGGUGCGAAAGCAGGUCAUAGUGAUCCGGUGGUUCUGAAUGGAAGGGCCAUCGCUCAACGGAUAAAAGGUACUCCGGGGAUAACAGGCUGAUACCGCCCAAGAGUUCAUAUCGACGGCGGUGUUUGGCACCUCGAUGUCGGCUCAUCACAUCCUGGGGCUGAAGUAGGUCCCAAGGGUAUGGCUGUUCGCCAUUUAAAGUGGUACGCGAGCUGGGUUUAGAACGUCGUGAGACAGUUCGGUCCCUAUCUGCCGUGGGCGCUGGAGAACUGAGGGGGGCUGCUCCUAGUACGAGAGGACCGGAGUGGACGCAUCACUGGUGUUCGGGUUGUCAUGCCAAUGGCACUGCCCGGUAGCUAAAUGCGGAAGAGAUAAGUGCUGAAAGCAUCUAAGCACGAAACUUGCCCCGAGAUGAGUUCUCCCUGAGACUUAGAGUCUCCUGAAGGAACGUUGAAGACGACGACGUUGAUAGGCCGGGUGUGUAAGCGCAGCGAUGCGUUGAGCUAACCGGUACUAAUGAACCGUGAGGCUUAACCUUACAACGCCGAAG
rnacentral:rRNA from 2 species